GAUGAACGCUGGCGGCGUGCCUAACACAUGCAAGCCAAACGGUAAGGCCCUUCUCUAGUGGGCUACCAGAGUGCCGAACGGGUGAGUAACCCGAGACUACCCUCCCCUUGACUUUGGGUUAACCUCAGGAACCUGGGGUUAUUCUCCAUAAGGAUCCUCAGCUGCAUCGUUGGGCUAGUAAAGUUGCGGCGGUUGGGGAUGUGCUCGCGGCUUAGGAGAUCGAUGGUGUGGUAGUUGCUUACCAGGGCUUUGACGGGUAGACGGCCUGAGAGGGUGACCGGGAACAGUGGGACAGAGCUACGGGCGGGAGUCCUACGGGAGACAGGAGUGGGGAAGAUUGCACAAUGGGCGGAAGCCGGAUGCAGCAACGCCGCGUGAGGGAUGACGGCCUGCGUGUGGGAAACCGCAUUAGGCGGGGAGGAAGCGUGGGUGACGGUAAUGGGUGAAGAAGCACCGGCUAACUACGUG
rnacentral:rRNA from 1 species